rnacentral:rRNA from 1 species
ACUCAAAUGAAUUGACGGGGGCCCGCACAAGCGGAGGAGCAUGUGGUUUAAUUCGAUGAUACGCGAGGAACCUUACCAAGGCUUAAAUGGGAAACGACAGACUUAGAAAUAGGUCUUUCUUCGGACGUUUUUCAAGGUGCUGCAUGGUUGUCGUCAGCUCGUGCCGUGAGGUGUCAGGUUAAGUCCUAUAACGAGCGCAACCCCUGUUGUUAGUUGCCAGCGAGUCAUGUCGGGAACUCUAGCAAGACUGCCAGUGCAAACUGUGAGGAAGGUGGGGAUGACGUCAAAUCAUCACGGCCCUUACGCCUUGGGCUACACACGUGCUACAAUGGACGGUACAGAGAGCAGCCACUACGCAAGUAGGAGCGAAUCUACAAAACCGUUCUCAGUUCGGAUCGGAGUCUGCAACUCGACUCCGUGAAGCUGGAUUCGCUAGUAAUCGCAGAUCAGCCAUGCUGCGGUGAAUACGUUCCCGGGCCUUGUACACACCGCCCGU